UACGAAGGUGGCUAGCGUUGCUCGGAAUUACUGGGCGUAAAGCGCACGUAGGCGGCUCUUUAAGUCGGGGGUGAAAUCCUGGAGCUCAACUCCAGAACUGCAUUCGAUACUGGAGAGCUCGAGUCCGGGAGAGGUGAGUGGAACUGCGAGUGUAGAGGUGAAAUUCGUAGAUAUUCGCAAGAACACCAGUGGCGAAGGCGGCUCACUGGCCCGGUACUGACGCUGAGGUGCGAAAGCGUGGGGAGCAAACAGG
rnacentral:rRNA from 1 species